rnacentral:rRNA from 1 species
UGGGGAAUAUUGCACAAUGGAGGGAGCUCUGAUGCAGCGACGCCGCGUGAACGAAGAAGGCUUUCGAGUCGUAAAGUUCUUUUAUAUGGGAAGAUAAUGACGGUACCAUAAGAAAAAGCCCCGGCUAACUACGUGCCAGCAGCCGCGGUAAUACGUAGGGGGCUAGCGUUGUCCGGAAUCACUGGGCGUAAAGGGUUCGCAGGCGGAAAUGCAAGUCAGGUGUAAAAGGCAGUAGCUUAACUACUGUAAGCAUUUGAAACUGCAUAUCUUGAGAAGAGUAGAGGUAAGUGGAAUUUUUAGUGUAGCGGUGAAAUGCGUAGAUAUUAAAAAGAAUACCGGUGGCGAAGGCGACUUACUGGGCUCAUUCUGACGCUGAGGAACGAAAGCGUGGGUAGCAAACAGG